AGAGUUUGAUCCUGGCUCAGGACGAACGCUGGCGGCGCGCCUAACACAUGCAAGUCGAACGGAGCUUAGAGAGCUUGCUUUUUAAGCUUAGUGGCGAACGGGUGAGUAACGCGUGAGUAACCUGCCCUGGAGUGGGGGACAACAGUUGGAAACGACUGCUAAUACCGCAUAAGCCCACGGUGCCGCAUGACACUGAGGGAAAAGGAUUUAUUCGCUUUAGGAUGGACUCGCGUCCAAUUAGCUAGUUGGUGAGGUAACGGCCCACCAAGGCGACGAUUGGUAGCCGGACUGAGAGGUUGAACGGCCACAUUGGGACUGAGACACGGCCCAGACUCCUACGGGAGGCAGCAGUGGGGGAUAUUGCACAAUGGGGGAAACCCUGAUGCAGCGACGCCGCGUGGAGGAAGAAGGUUUUCGGAUUGUAAACUCCUGUCGUUAGGGACGAUAAUGACGGUACCUAACAAGAAAGCACCGGCUAACUACGUGCCAGCAGCCGCGGUAAAACGUAGGGUGCAAGCGUUGUCCGGAAUUACUGGGUGUAAAGGGAGCGCAGGCGGGAAGACAAGUUGGAAGUGAAAACCAUGGGCUCAACCCAUGAAUUGCUUUCAAAACUGUUUUUCUUGAGUAGUGCAGAGGUAGAUGGAAUUCCCGGUGUAGCGGUGGAAUGCGUAGAUAUCGGGAGGAACACCAGUGGCGAAGGCGGUCUACUGGGCACCAACUGACGCUGAGGCUCGAAAGCAUGGGUAGCAAACAGGAUUAGAUACCCCGGUAGUCCAUGCCGUAAACGAUGAUUACUAGGUGUUUGGGGGGAUUGACCCCCUCAAUUGCCGCAGUUAACACAAUAAGUAAUCCACCUGGGGGAGUACGACCCGCAAGGUUGAAACUCCAAAGGAAUUUGACGGGGGGCCCGCACAAACAGUGGGAGGAAUAUUGGGUUUAAUUCCGAAACAACCCCGAAGAAACCUUUCCCAGGGCUUUGACAUCCCGAUGCUAAGCCAAAAAGAAAGUGUGGAAAACCCUUCCGGGAAUCCCAAACACAGGGGGUGGCAUGGGUUGUCGUCAGCUCGUGUCGUGAGAUGUUGGGUUAAGUCCCGCAACGAGCGCAACCCUUAUUGCCAGUUACUACGUUAAGAGGACUCUGGCGAGACUGCCGUUGACAAAACGGAGGAAGGUGGGGAUGACGUCAAAUCAUCAUGCCCUUUAUGACCUGGGCUACACACGUACUACAAUGGCGUUAAACAAAGAGAAGCAAGACCGCGAGGUGGAGCAAAACUCAAAAACAACGUCUCAGUUCAGAUUGCAGGCUGCAACUCGCCUGCAUGAAGUCGGAAUUGCUAGUAAUCGCGGAUCAGCAUGCCGCGGUGAAUACGUUCCCGGGCCUUGUACACACCGCCCGUC
rnacentral:rRNA from 1 species